UUUUAUGCAGUUUAUGUGAAAGAUCCCCAAAGGGAGACCCUUACUCAAGUCUUGGGAAAUCGCGGACCCCAGACACAGAGAGACCA
rnacentral:pre_miRNA from 14 species